ensembl:snRNA U6 U6 spliceosomal RNA
GGGCUCGCUUCGGCAGCACAGAUACCAAAAUUGGAACAACACAGAGAAGAUUCGCAUGGGCUCUGAGCAAGGAUGACACUCAAGCUUGUGAAGAAAAGGCAAAGUGU